CUGAAGCGGAUAUAUCAGGUAUAAAAGCAUAAUUUUGUAACCCUAGCCUCAUUUCUGGCCUCUCAUUUCUUGCUCUUCACGCAGCUCCUAUAAAGAGAUUCGAAGGGCAAUUUUGAUGAAACCUUUGUUCGUGGUCUACCAACCACGAAUCGAACAUUUUCUUCUUGUUUUUCCUUUAGUGUGUGUUUGUUCUUUCAGCUUUUUUUAGGUGAUUGAAACGCGAAGAGAGAGAAAUCCUAAUUUGCGGUUGCUACACCAUGGAUUGAACGUUUUCACUGCAAAACCAUUCCUUUUCCCCUCGUUUGUAUAUGUUUUCUGACCUUCUGUGACAUGAUUAAAAGGAGAUUCGACGAAACCUAGAGGUCGCUUCUGCUUCAUCUCAUUUUUCUCUGAUUUGCAACUUGUUUGAGGCGAUUGAAAGAGUGAAGGAACCCUAGUUCUUCGUUCGCGACUUCGGAUCCAAGUUUUGGGUUGCAAAAAGUUUGCAAGGUACUUGACUACAAGGAAGGAAAACAUUGGAUCUUAAAGUAAUCAUUGGAGCUUAAAGCUAACAUUGGAAUUUGAAGUUGCCUAAGGACAUUUGUGAGCAUUUCUUGAACAUCUCGUAGUUUAAUUGUUUUACUUCUUUGCAUGCUUGUGAUAGCCCUUGUUGAGGCUAAUUUUAUUGCUUAAAUCUUUGUCCAAGCAUCGGCCCUUGUGGAGACCAUUAUUUGUUGCAUUUGGAUUUUGAAUAUAGAUGGAGCCAUUGUUUGAUCCAAGUUUGGAGAAAAAUUACUUCCCCUCACCUUAUGUCCCUCCACCAUAUUUUAAUCCUUAUGAGGUUGAGUCCAAUUCAUUUCAACAUGCAUCAUCUUAUUAUGGACUUGACUAUUCUCAUUAUCCUCCUUGUGACUAUUACCAUCCUCCACCAUUUUAUAAAGAACCACCUCCAUCACCUUAUUCACCCAAGUUUCAAGAAAAAGUGUUAGCUCUACUUGAUUGGCUUAAUUAACAAACCCAACUUAUUCUUUCACAUUCUCAAAUCUUAGCCAAGCUUAAAGCUCAAGUUGAGCAAAUUGCUAGUACUCUUUCUCCUCAAGAGGAGGAGGAAGAGAUAAAUAAAAAAAAUGGUAAGAACUUCAAUUUAUAUAGAUGAGAAUGAUGAGAGUGAAGAGGAAAAAGUAGCAAGUGAGCAAAUUGAGGAAUUAAUGAGUCCACCAAUGGCUAAUCUAAUAGAGUACAACAUGACUUAUAAGGAUUUUUCUUAUUUUGAUCAUGAUUUGAUUCCGGCCUUUGAUACUCUAGAGAGUGAGGAGAUGGUGACCACUGUAGAGGUAGGAGAGGAAGAUGAGGAACUUGUUGAAGAGAGCAUUCCUUCUAUUAUCUCCAAAGACCCUCUUGAGACAUGCCUUUUUGAAAUGCAUAAAAAUUAUGGUUUUGACCUUGAAAGUUCUAAAAAUGAAGUGAACUCUUUAAUGGACUCCUUAUCUAACUUGGAAAGUGAGGAGAUGGUGAUCAUUGAGGAAGAGAAAGGGGAUGAAGAGAGUGCAAUUCCUAGUAAUCCAAUUGAGUCCUUGAAAGACUUUGCUUUGCCAAGUGCAAUGCCACCCAUUAUUGAUAUCAUUUUCAAGACCGUGGAUGAAAGGAAACAAAUUGCAUCUUUCAUAAUUUCUUUUCAAGUUAUUCUUUUAGGAGGUGUUUACAUAGUUGUGAGAGAGGAUCUACUUGGGAAAAUUGACAAGAGGGUCAAUGAGGAUGCUUCAUAUCCAGUUUUUGACUCUUUUUAUUAGUGGGUUGACCAAACGUCUUCCUAAAGACGUUAAACACUAGUAUUCGUAGUGUUUCAAAACUCUAUUCCUCCCUUAUUUCUUUUUAUUUUUUGUUCUUGUGUAUAUUCUUCCAUCCAUUUUUCAAUCUCUAUUUUUGUUACCAUCAUUGAGGCUUAGCAUAGGAUUUUCUGCACUUUCAGCUCAAAAUUAGGCAUUUGGUGCCAGUUCGAUCGAUCACAAGUGCACCCUCAAUUGAUCGAACUGUUCUGCAGUCAAUUCUCUGCAGAUUUCAGGUCUCUGUCCAUCGUGCGAACUUAUUAUUCGAUCGUUCCAAAUGCACUUCGAUCGAUCCAAUUUUCCCUAUGAUCGAUCUCAUUUCCAUACUUAGAAAAUUUUUCAAAGUUCUGCAAAUUUCAUGCCUCUGUCCUAUCAUGCCAGCAUAGAGAUCGAUCAUGGUUCGAUUGAUUCAAGUAAGGAUCGAUCACAGCUUUGCCCCUUUGACUUUUUGACUUUUUCCUCUUUCUAUUUUUAUUUUAUUUUAUUUUUUAUAUUUUUUUUACUUUUGUCAUUUUCUUUUAUUUUAUUUAGUUACUUUUCUCUUGUGAUUAAAAAAAAAAUAAAAAAUAAUAAUAAUAAUAAUAAAAUAAAAAUAAAAAAAGAGACGAUUUUUCAAAGUAGUAUUCCGUCUUGUUAGAGACGUUAAACUUAGCACCCACAUGACACAUUGUGUUUUUUAUCUCUUGUAUCAUACAUGUUCAUUUUUUUUUUUAUUUUUUUUUUUUUUUAUUUUCUUUCAUUUUGUUUCAUUGUACAUACUUUCAUAAAAAAAAAAAAAUUAAAAAAUAUAAAAAUUUCACCAGGGUGCCCUUAUGUGUAGUCUUGCUACUUUUAUAUUUUCUAUUAGGCUUGAUCUUAUAUCUCCCUUUCAUCUUGUAUUAUAUUGCCUUAGAAUGCAUGAUUUGAUUAUUCUUAUCCCAUUUGAUAUUUGAUGUGAGUUUGCUAGUGUAGUUAUUUAAAUAGGUUGUUGAUUUCAAGUUUGGAGGAGACCAUUUUCAUAUUGGAUCAUUGCCGGGCUUCAUGCAUUGCCACCACGGUAUAUUCUUUCCGUUUUUUCCAUUAUUCUCAUUGCACAUUGAGGACAAUGUGCGGUUUAAGUUUGGGGGUGAGGUGUCUUUGUUGCAUUCUACUUAAGUUUGAGAUUUAAAUGCAUGAUUAAGAUUUGAGAUCCAUGUUAGCUGUGAUUUUGAUCUUUUGAGGACUAUAUUGCUUAAAAUUUAAAAUUGCUUGACUUGAGAGUCCAAUACUCCUUGUAUGCCUUGUGGAUGCCAUGUGGGAGUAAAUUUUUUCAAAAGAUUGAUAUCUUGGUUGCAUUUGUUGUCCACAUCAUCUUGAUCUUGUGAUUGUUUUGAGAUUCACUUUAGGAUUCUCUACUCGCACUUGCGCACACUAGCAUUCAUUUGUGGGGUACAUGCUUUGUUGACCAUUGAUUUGAUUACAUCCCAAUUGAGCUAGUAGUGCAUUGAAAGCUUUCAUUUUGACAAAGGUGGAUAAAAAACCAUUUUCAUUAGGUAGCCGGGGUUCUAGCCUUAUCAAGCACUGAAUUUCUCAUGCCGAAAGGUGUUAGGCCCAAACUCUAGGUUAAAAAAUAAAAAUAAAAAAAGAAGAAGAAGAAAAAAAAAAAAAAAAAAGUGAGGACUUUUCCCAAAAGGUGAGAAGUGGGAAAUGAUUAGAUGGAGGUUGUUUUGAUUUAUAAUCUAGUUGUUUGAGCUUGUAAGUCCUUAGGGGUGUUUCAAUACCUAAAGCCUUAAAGCUGUUUGGUUUAGGAGUUAUUGUCCCAACGCUCGAUCUCAUGGAUCGGUAAAAAGCUUAAUAGAUCAACACAUUGCAUUAUACUUCCAUUUUUUAUCCUUAGGGAUAGAAAAAAAAAGAUCAAGUGGAAAGAAUAAGCGCACCUAGUUGAAUAAAGCUUUAAUAAAAGGUCCAUUCUUUGUCUUCAUGAUCGGUACUAGAUUUGUGUGCUAGUUUGAGGCUGGAUGUGAUAAUUUCUUUAGUUGGCUUAGAUAACAACAUAUAUGAUGCCAGUUCACUUAAAAAGGAUUCUAGAGUUGUUUUGAUUUGCAUGAUCAUUGUCUUGAUGUGUGGAAGACCAUUCUUGCUUGCUUGAUAUUGAAAUUUUGGGUGACUGCUUGGACAUGGUUGAAAAAUUGCAUACUUGAGGUAGUUUUCUCCCAAUACUUGUUUGGAAUAUUGGUGCCUCUUUAGUGAGAAUGAGCUUAAUGGUUAUGUGUAUCAUUUCUGGAAACCCUCACGAAACUUCACUCGUCCACUAUGGGUAACCUAGGGGUUUAAAAAGCUUGUUGCAUGCGCUAAAUGUAAUCGUGUUCCCUACGAAAGUGGUGUUAUCCAUUUAUUACUUUCUAGUUCAUAGUUGUAUAGUUGUUCAUUUCUUUAUUUUCUUCGUAGUUCAUUGCUAGGGACUAGCAAUAUUUAAAAUUAGGGGUGUGAUAAGUGCUGAAAAGUGCGCAUUUAAAUCCCUUAAUCUUGAAUGUUCUAGGACUUUAUUCUAUCUUAUUUUUCCGUUUUAGUACUAAUUUAUGUUUUUGUCUAUUUUUAGGUCAAUAAGGUUUAAACGGGAUAAUUUCGGUCCUUUAAGGACUUUUUGGAGUCAAAUUUAGUCUUGGUGAGAAGUUAGAGGAAAAGGAGGCCGAUGUUGAAAACUGCCAAGUUGGAUUAAUCGAACCCUGAUCGAUCACACCAUACGUCUAAUCGAUCACACUAUUGGUUGGAUCGAUCGAACUAUUCGUAAAAGUUAUAAAAAAGUUGAUCUAAAGCUCAUUUUGAACAAAACUUGGGUUGUGCUUGAAAGGGGAGAUCCUAUGGCUGAGUUCUCACAUUUUUGGGCUCUAAAAUCCUUGUAUAUAAGAGGGAUUAAACCAUUUUUGUGGGGAGAUUCUUAUUUUUACAUUGUAAUUUCAUAUUUUCAUUAGUUUCUCUCUCUAGAAAGUUAGAGAUUAGGGUUAGAAGAAAAGAGGGAAGUGGAGGCACAUCUCAAGAAUACAUCCCUAAAUCAACAUACUCUCUCUCUCUAGAGCUUCAAAGAAGAAGAAGAAAAAGAAGAAGAUGGAAACAUGUUUGGAGCUUGCCCAUGAGGGUUUCAUGACCACAUCCACCUCCUUCAUGAUUGGCUAGAUCUACACUUAGGGCUUGGAUGAGCCCUGAGUCUUGUGUAAUCUAAACCCUUGUAUUUCUAUUUUUAGGAAUUUAUAUAUAUAUUGUAGUGAUUAGUGGUUAGCCAUGU